rnacentral:rRNA from 1 species
UACGUAGGUGGCAAGCGUUAUCCGGAAUUAUUGGGCGUAAAGAGCUCGUAGGCGGUUUGUCGCGUCUGCUGUGAAAACCUAAGGCUCAACCUUGGGCUUGCAGUGGGUACGGGCAGACUAGAGUGCGGUAGGGGUGACUGGAAUUCCUGGUGUAGCGGUGGAAUGCGCAGAUAUCAGGAGGAACACCGAUGGCGAAGGCAGGUCACUGGGCCGCAACUGACGCUGAGGAGCGAAAGCAUGGGGAGCGAACAGG